ACCGGGGCCUCAGGUCUCUACUCCCAUCCCAUGUUAACUUUUUACCGUUGCUUUGGCGGACCGGUGGUCUGACUGCCGCCGGCUCUAGGCUGGAGAGCGUCUGCCAGAGGAUUUUCAAAUGCUGUUUAAACGUGUGCUCUGAGUACAACUUAAUUAGAAUCAAAACUUUCAACAACGGAUCUCUUGGUUCUGGCAUCGAUGAAGAACGCAGCGAAAUGCGAUAAGUAAUGUGAAUUGCAGAAUUCAGUGAAUCAUCGAAUCUUUGAACGCACAUUGCGCCCUUUGGUAUUCCGAGGGGCAUGCCUGUUCGAGCGUCAUUUAAACAAUCAAGCACAGCUUGGCCUUGGACCCUGGGCCCCGAGGGCGCCCGGUCCGAAACCCACAGACGGCGUUCCCGUCGAGUCUUAAGCGUAGCAAAAGUUACCACCGCUUCAAAGACUCAGGCGGGAGCGGCCCCGAGAAUUACCCCCAAAGUUUGACCUCGGAUCAGGUAGGGAUACCCGCUGAACUUAAGCAUAUCAAUAAGCGGAGGAAAAGAAACCAACAGGGAUUGCCUUAGUAACGGCGAGUGAAGCGGCAACAGCUCAAAUUUGAAAUCUGGCUCACGCCCGAGUUGUAAUUUGCAGAGGUGGCUUCGGAGCCGCACCGGCCUAAGUUCCUUGGAACAGGACGUCACAGAGGGUGAGAAUCCCGUACGUGGCCAGGUGCCUAUCCGUGUGUAGCCCCUUCGACGAGUCGAGUUGUUUGGGAAUGCAGCUCUAAAUUGGAGGUAAAUUUCUUCUAAAGCUAAAUACCGGCCAGAGACCGAUAGCGCACAAGUAGAGUGAUCGAAAGAUGAAAAGCACUUUGAAAAGAGAGUUAAAAAGUACGUGAAAUUGUUGAAAGGGAAGCGUUUGUAGCCAGACCUGACUUCAGUUGCUCAGCCGGUCCUUGCCCGGUGCACUCUUCUGUCGUCAGGCCAGCAUCAGUUCGGGCGGCCGGAUAAAGGCCUGGGGAAUGUGGCUCCUCGGAGUGUUAUAGCCCCUCGCACAAUGCGGCCUGCCCGGA
rnacentral:rRNA from 1 species